rnacentral:lncRNA from 1 species
GUACCAGAUAAUCAUUUUCAGCUUCUAUAUUGCUAUUGGAGCUCCGCUAUUAGGUGUUACCUAAUUUUUAUAUUAAAGUUAAUUACUUACCCAAAUUGUUUUCGGAGUUCACAUUGUUAUCUUCGACAACUUGGACGGUCUCUCUUGCUUCUCUUUGGAGAUGAGAAAUUUGAGUUCGAUAAUUUGCAGCCUUCCCAUUACANGAAGAACAAAUACAAUGUACAUGAACACCUUUUUUAGCAGAGCAAUGACAUAAGGAAGAACGAGUGGUGUUGUUUCUUUUUUGACAUACACAGGGAUAGGAGCCAGCCCAAUGAAUGUCGCACGAGACCACCCCGACUGAGUCCAGACCGUAGCUGAAAAGCCAGCAAAAUGCAAGGCGGGAAAAUAAGCCAAUCAGAAUUAACCUCAUGUAAAAUCAGCCAAUAAGAAGCAAUGAUGAUUCAAUNUCAUCAGGACAUCAGAUGAUGAUGAAACGUAUGAUGAAUACGAAGAGAGGGGUCAGAGGUCGCCUGCAUCCUCAUUUGAUGCAAAUAUAAUUCCCCUUCGCCAGAACNGUCCACCAGUCAUCGUUCAACAACUGUAGUCUGCCAUAAAAAGACCAACUCUAAUCCCGAUACCGUUGGGGAAGAGGUAACACUGGUGAAGUCCAAAAACCCUUCAGAGUGGACUAUUAAUGAAGUCAAAGAUUGGGUGAAAGAAAUCUUUCAUGAUUCCCCAGCUAUUUCAGAAAACUUUGUAAGAGAAGAAGUAGAUGGAAGAACACUACUAGGCCUAAAAGAGCAAGAAUUCAACAUUCUUGGUGUGAAUACCAUUGGCAAAAAGUCCAACUUUGCCUCAAAAAUAAUGGAGUUGAAAGGGGAUGAUACAUCACUGCCAGUUAAAAAAAGAAAAUUAUUCCAUAAAGAAAACUUAAACGGAAUGUUGACUAUGGAUCAUACUUUAACAAAGAGUUGUCUGCAAUGUCUGCACAAGCAAUUGUUCUGAAAUGGUUAAAUUAGAAACUAUAACCGAUUUAAAGCUGGAGUCUCUCAGGAAAGAAGCUAGGAUGCUAGGGCUCCAUCUUUUAAGAAACAAAGAUAAGAUAACACAUAUCGAUGCUAUUGCUGCCACUCUCUUAAAGAAAAACAAGGUUUCUAUUUCAGACACCUCAUUGUUUAAGGUUGCAAUAAGCGAUGUUAAAAUACUUUAGGCUACAAAAUGUGUAUUUUAUUUGUUUGAUAUGUAAAAGCUGAAGAAUAGCAUUAUUGUAUUGUUAAUAUUAACACCAAUAAUAUUCAUGUAUUUGAAGAUUAUUAAAGUAAAUGCAAUGAUAUUAAUAUUGUUUUUCAUCAUAAGUGUUACAAUACCUAAUGAUUGAAAAUCUGAAAAUCCAAAUAAGGAAUUUCUAAAUACCCAUGAUUGGAAAGUGAACAUCCAAGGAAUUUCUAAAUACCCAUGGUUGGAAACUGAAAAUCCAAAUAAGGAAUUUCUAAAUACCCAUGGUUGGAAACUGAAAAUCCAAAUAAGGAAUUUCUAAAUACCCAUGACUGGAAACUGAACAUCCAAAUAAGGAAUUUUUAAAUACCCAUGACUGGAAACUGAAUAUCCAAAUAAGGAAUUUUUAAAUACCCAUGAUUGGAAACUGAACAUCCAAAUAAGGAAUUUUUAAAUACCCAUGAUUGGAAACUGAACAUCCAAAAUUGGAAUUCUAAAUACCAAGUACGGAAAAAAAGAAACCCAAAUUUGGAUUGUAAAGAUAACCAAAUAUGGAAAACACUUAUCCAAUAAAGGAUUUUCCUUAAACACCAGUUUUGGAUUUCAUUUUUUACAGGGAUUUUUUCUAGAUUCCAAACCUGGAAUUUCCAAAAUAGCACAUUGGUUUUUUUUAGAAAUCCAGGUUUGGAAAAAUUGCAUUUUAUCCAAAUUUGGAACUCAUUUAAAAUCCAAUGAAAAUCCAAGACAAAACCAAGGAAAAUCUUGUUUGGUUUUUUGUUAUUUUUUCCAGUGAAACCGGCUGCAUGCAUUGUAAAGUGAAACUUUUUUUCAUUUCAUUGUUAUUGACCGUAAAAAUAGUCAUUUUCACACACAAGACAUCAUUUUAUUUUGCCUUUUUACUCUAUUUAAUAAUUGCAUUUGUGCAAAAAAAUGGCCUGUCAAAUUUCUUUUACAUUUUACAGUCUGUGGAAUAAUAGCCUGCAGGUGCACUUUUGCUACUUACAUUAACUGCGUGACUUGUAAGGCAUUCAGAUUCUAGUAUUUCUAAAACAUUCCAAUACAUGUACAGGUAACUGCAUGCUUUUCUGUACAAACUACAAAAAAUGUCAGUUUCUUGAUCACAGUAUUCAUUAGCUAAAUAUAGUAGCGAGGCGUACGUGCUUAUUGUAGCUGUCUGUAUAUAUAUAAACGGGAAGUAAUAUCCCCAGGCAUUUGUUAUCAAAGGAAGUUUUUAUUUCACAAUUUGAUUCCAGAUGAUUUGCUCUAAAAGGUCUUCUGGCCCAAUUCUUCCUUAAUCAAUAACUUGCAUUAUGGACUUAUUCCUAACAUUUCUUGUAAGCCAUACAGCUAGUAAGGUAUUGAAACUUUGAAUAGUCUUUGUUGUGAUAUAUAUAACUUAAUAUGCAUACAUAAGACUUCAUUUGUAUUAUUUUUUGAUAAAUUCUUCUGAG